AGCAGCCGCGGUAAUUCCAGCUCCAAUAGCGUAUAUUAAAGUUGUUGCAGUUAAAAAGCUCGUAGUUGAAUUUCGGGGUCAGUAGGUCGGUCGUGCCACUGGUAUGAACUGGUUUUACUGAUUCCUCCCUCUUGAAGAACUGUAAUGCCAUUAAUUUGGUGUUGCAGGGAAUCAGGACUGUUACUUUGAAAAAAUUAGAGUGUUUAAAGCAGGCUUUAGCUUGAAUACAUUAGCAUGGAAUAAUGAAAUAGGACGUUUGAUCCUAUUUUGUUGGUUUCUAGGAUUGACGUAAUGAUUAAUAGGGAUAGUUGGGGGCAUUAGUAUUCAAUUGUCAGAGGUGAAAUUCUUGGAUUUAUUGAAGACUAACUACUGCGAAAGCAUUUGCCAAGGAUGUUUUCAUUAAUCAAGAACGAAAGUUAGGGGAUCGAAGACGAUCAGAUACCGUCGUAG
rnacentral:rRNA from 1 species